rnacentral:tRNA from 1 species
GGACAGAUGGCCGAGAGGCUGAAGGCGGUUUCCUGCUAAGAAACUAUACGGACAAAAAUCUGUAUCCAGGGUUCGAAUCCCUGUCUGUCCGCCA